AAAAACAUCAUGAUGAACCCAUUUACGGAUGUAAAAAUACAUAACAAUCAUCCGAGAGCGCAAAAACCCAUGUGGAAUUUUCCGUUGCCUUCCUUCUGACCCCCUUU
rnacentral:snoRNA from 1 species